rnacentral:sRNA from 1 species
ACCCAACUCAGAUGAUGAGGACGAUGGGGAUGAGAAAGAAGAUGACGAGGAGGAUAAAGACGACGUCCCUGGGCCCUCAACUGGGGGCAGCCUCCGAGACCCUGAGCCAGAGCAGGCUGGGCCCAGCUCUGGAGUCACGAACAGGUGCCCGUUCCUCCUGGACAAUUGCCUUGGCACAUCUCAGUGGCCCCCAAGGCGACGACGCAAGCAGCUGUUCACCCUGCAGACGGUGAACUCCAAUGGGACCAGCGACCGCACAACCUCCCCUGAAGAAGUCCAUGCCCAGCCGUACAUUGCUAUCGACUGGGAGCCAGAGAUGAAGAAGCGUUACUAUGACGAGGUAGAGGCUGAGGGCUACGUGAAGCAUGACUGCGUCGGGUACGUGAUGAAGAAGGCUCCCGUGCGGCUGCAGGAGUGCAUUGAGCUCUUCACCACUGUGGAGACCCUGGAGAAGGAAAACCCCUGGUACUGCCCUUCCUGCAAGCAGCACCAGCUGGCAACCAAGAAGCUGGACCUGUGGAUGCUGCCGGAGAUUCUCAUCAUCCACCUGAAACGCUUUUCCUACACCAAGUUCUCCCGAGAGAAGCUGGACACCCUCGUGGAGUUUCCUAUCCGGUCAGGGGCCAGGGAGAGGAUGGCUGGGGGAAGGCAGGGAAAGGAGGGGGUGUACCAGUAUUAACCCUCUCCCCACCCACAGGGACCUGGACUUCUCUGAGUUUGUCAUCCAGCCACAGAAUGAGUCGAAUCCGGAGCUGUACAAAUAUGACCUCAUCGCGGUUUCCAACCAUUAUGGGGGCAUGCGUGAUGGACACUACACAACAUUUGCCUGCAACAAGGACAGCGGCCAGUGGCACUACUUUGAUGACAACAGCGUCUCCCCUGUGAAUGAGAAUCAGAUCG